rnacentral:rRNA from 1 species
AACGGCGAGUGAAGCGGCAAAAGCUCAAAUUUGAAAUCUGGCCUCCUACGGGGGUCCGAGUUGUAAUUUGUAGAGGAUGCUUCGGGUGCGGCCGCCGUCUAAGUUCCUUGGAACAGGACGUCAGAGAGGGUGAGAAUCCCGUCUUGGGCGGCCGGUCCGCGCCCGUGUGAAGCUCCUUCGAAGAGUCGAGUUGUUUGGGAAUGCAGCUCUAAGCGGGUGGUAAAUUUCAUCUAAAGCUAAAUACUGGUCGGAGACCGAUAGCGCACAAGUAGAGUGAUCGAAAGGUUAAAAGCACCUUGAAAAGGGAGUUAAACAGCACGUGAAAUUGUUGAAAGGGAAGCGCUUGCGGCCAGACUCGGGGGCGGGGUUCAGCGGGCGCUCGUCGCCCGUGCACUCCCCGUCUCCCGGGCCAGCAUCAGUUUCGACGGCCGGUCAAAGGCCCCCGGAAUGUGUCGUCUCUCGGGACGUCUUAUAGCCGGGGGUGCAAUGCGGCCCGUCGGGACUGAGGAACGCGCUUCGGCUCGGAUGCUGGCGUAAUGGCCGUAAGCGGCCCGUCUUGAAACACGGACCAAGGAGUCUAACAUCCACGCGAGUGUUCGGGUGUCAAACCCGUGCGCGCAGUGAAAGCGAACGGAGGUGGGAGCCUUAGGGCGCACCAUCGACCGAUCCUGAAGUCUUCGGAUGGAUUUGAGUAGGAGCGUGGCCGUUGGGACCCGAAAGAUGGUGAACUAUGCCUGAAUAGGGUGAAGCCAGAGGAAACUCUGGUGGAGGCUCGCAGCGGUUCUGACGUGCAAAUCGAUCGUCAAAUUU